GACGAACGCUGGCGGCGUGCUUAACACAUGCAAGUCGAGCGAUGAAGUUCCUUCGGGAAUGGAUUAGCGGCGGACGGGUGAGUAACACGUGGGUAACCUGCCUCAUAGAGGGGAAUAGCCUUUCGAAAGAAAGAUUAAUACCGCAUAAGAUUGUAGUAUCGCAUGAUACAGCAAUUAAAGGAGGAAUCCGCUAUGAGAUGGACCCGCGUCGCAUUAGCUAGUUGGUGAGGUGACGGCUCACCAAGGCGACGAUGCGUAGCCGACCUGAGAGGGAGAUCGGCCACAUUGGGACUGAGACACGGCCCAGACUCCUACGGGAGGCAGCAGUGGGGAAUAUUGCACAAUGGGGGAAACCCUGAUGCAGCAACGCCGCGUGAGUGAUGACGGUCUUCGGAUUGUAAAACUCUGUCUUCAGGGACGAUAAUGACGGUACCUGAGGAGGAAGCCACGGCUAACUACGUGCCAGCCGCCGCCGUAA
rnacentral:rRNA from 1 species